rnacentral:rRNA from 1 species
GCUAACGUCGGGCGGGCAGCGGCGGUGUUACGGAGGGGGCAAGCGUUGUCCGGAUUUACUGGGCGGAAAGCGCGUGGAGGCGGCCACGCAGGUCCGUUGUGAAAACUAGAGGCUCAACUUCUAGACGUCGACGGAAACCGGGUGGCUAGAGUCCGGAAGAGGAGAGUGGAAUUCCUGGUGUAGCGGUGAAAUGCGCAGAUAUCAGGAAGAACACCAAUGGCGAAGGCAGCUCUCUGGGACGGUACUGACGCUGAGACGCGAAAGCGUGGGGAGCGAACAGGAUUAGAUACCCGAGUAGUC